CUUGGAUAACUUUCUACUUUUUUGUCUUCCUCAAACUACUACCAAGUGCCCUCUCUACGAAGGAGGCUGUGUAACUGAGUGGCCUCUAUUAUCCUCAUCCAUGCUAAAGUCCACUGGAUGUUCAUCAUCUAAUAUGGCAGUCUCCUCUCUCUCUAGAUUCUCAAUAGCCUUUGCAAAUGUUUUAGCAUCCUUUUGUUGGAAAUUAUGUCCCAAAGUCAAUCGUCAGCUUGUUGACAGUUGUAUUGAUCAAUGUAAAUGUAUAUGAAUUGAUAAAUUAAUAAGAUUAUUAUUUAAUUUUUUUCAUCAUUAAGUAGUAUACAUCUUCUUAAUAAACUCCAAU
rnacentral:lncRNA from 1 species